GAACGGGUGAGUAACGUGGGCAAUCUGCCCUGCACUCUGGGACAACCCUGGAAACGGGUAAUACCGGAUACUACCCCCGCAGGCUGGGGUUCGAAAGUCCGGCGGUGCAGGAUGAGCCCGCGGCCUAUCAGCUUGUUGGUGAGGUAACGGCUCACCAGGCGACGACGGGUAGCCGGCCUGAGAGGGCGACCGGCCACACUGGGACUGAGACACGGCCCAGACUCCUACGGGAGGCAGCAGUGGGGAAUAUUGCACAAUGGGCGAAAGCCUGAUGCAGCGACGCCGCGUGAGGGAUGACGGCCUUCGGGUUGUAAACCUCUUUCAGCAGGGAAGAAGGACGGUACCUGCAGAAGAAGCGCCGGCU
rnacentral:rRNA from 1 species